rnacentral:rRNA from 1 species
GUGAGGAAUAUUGGUCAAUGGGCGGAAGCCUGAACCAGCCAUCCCGCGUGGAGGAAGACGGCCCUAUGGGUUGUAAACUUCUUUUCAAGGGGAAGAAAGUUCGCGACGUGUCGCGAUUUGCCGGUACCUUUGGAAUAAGCAUCGGCUAACUCCGUGCCAGCAGCCGCGGUAAUACGGAGGAUGCGAGCGUUAUCCGGAUUUAAUGGGUUUAAAGGGUGCGUAGGCCGAUCGAUAAGUCAGCGGUGAAAUACCAUGGCCCAACCAUGGAACUGCCGUUGAGACUGUCGGUCUUGAAUAUGGUCAAGGUAGGCGGAAUGUGUAAUGUAGCGGUGAAAUGCGUAGAUAUUACACAGAACACCGAUUGCGAAGGCAGGUGGCUGUACCUUAAUCGACGCUGAUGCACGAAAGCAUGGGGAGCAAACAGGAUUAGAUACCCUAGUAGUCC